rnacentral:rRNA from 1 species
AAUCAACGCUGGCGGCGUGCCUCAGACAUGCAAGUCGAACGCGAAAGUUCCCUUCGGGGGGCGAGUAGAGUGGCGCACGGGUGAGUAACACGUAGGUAAUCUACCUUUGGGUGGGGAAUAACAGCCGGAAACGGCUGCUAAUACCGCAUAAUGCAGCGGCUCGACAUCGAGACAGUUGUUAAAGCGGGGGAUCGCAAGACCUCGCGCCUAAAGAGGAGCCUGCGGCGGAUUAGCUUGUUGGUGAGGUAAUGGCUCACCAAGGCAUCGAUCCGUAGCCGGCCUGAGAGGGCGGUCGGCCACACUGACACUGACAUACGGGUCAGACUCCUACGGGAGGCAGCA